rnacentral:tRNA from 1 species
GUAGCGGUUUUUUUCUCAAAAUGGUAUAAAAUAAUACUAUUUUUAAGAUAAACUUAAACAACAAAAUACCUAUUUUUCAAUACUUUGAUAAAAAAUGAUAACAAAACGCAUUAGGCUCAAAAUCUGGUAAGGGCAACCUUGUGUCGGUUCGAGUCCGACCUCGGGCACCA